rnacentral:lncRNA from 1 species
UAUAUAUAUAUAUAGAGUUGAGCUAGAAUACUCUCGAUAGUAAACGGGACGUUUUACUAUCGAGUUGUUUUCGAUGAUAGAGCUUCCAAAUUGACGAUCGGCUCCGUUGAACAUGAUCUAUACCACUUGAAGUGUUUAGAAAUCAAAUUUCAAAUCUCUUCGACAUCAUUUGCCUAAUGAUCAAAGGGUUUCAAAAUUUGUAAUUUUAAUGGUGGAUAAGAGAGUUUCUCGUUUAACGGUGUAAAGAUAUCCAAAUCAAUUGAAUUUUUGUUAGAAAAUUCUUUAAACUAUUUAAAACAAGAUCUAUACUCUUGAUCUUGAUUACAAGACUCCUAUCAUCAUUUUUUAAAGAAUAUUCAUUUUCAGCCAUUCAUUUUUUGUUCACUAGAUGGAUAAAAGGAUAAUAUCGAAAGUGCGUGAAAUUUGAUUUCUAGGUAGUUUAAAUGGUUUAGAUCAUAUUUAACGGAGCCGAUCGUCAAUUUGAAAGCUCUAUCAUCGAAAACAACUCGAUAGUAAAACGCCCCGUUUACUAUCGAGAGUAUUCUAGCUCAACUAUAUAUAUAUAUAUAUAUAUAAACAAAUAUGG